CCGACCAACAGCCGAUUUCGAACUCGUCUGUGCAGGCUGCGGGGUUUGAAGGUGAAACGCAGAAAAUACAGGAGAGGCAAGCAACUAGAGAGAAAAAUAUAAUCCUGUAGAAUGAGGGUGCGACGAAAUGAAAAGAAAUGGAGGCCAUAUAAGGGUAAGGAAGCCAAAUGAAGGCCAUACAAGGGUAAGGAAGCCGUGGUCUGGCGUUAAAAGACAGAGUGCAGAAUGCAGAGCGAAAAUAUAAGAAUUCAGCUGAACUUCAUUUCAGGAUUUGGCAGUAGCAGUGGGAUUCUCCUCUAAAGAUAAAUGCAAAAACCUGUUGCUUGUUCGAUCCCGAACUAUACUUUCGGAUAUUUAGCAGUUAUUCCGUAUUCCCUUAUUUGUGAAUCGCAGCGUUGAGAUACCUAUUAUUACUGCCAUUUGGUCAGUUGUUACUCUGCCGUCGUCUUUGACAAAACAUACCUUUUAAAUGGAAGGUCGCGAAGACAAGCAUGAAAAACACAACUGCACACUCCAUUCUGUAGGAAUGACACUGAUAACUGAUACACUUUGUCUAGUUAUGAACCAUAUAAAUUUUGGUUUCCAAUCCUGCAAAUGAGUGGGCGGAUUACAUUACACGAGCGAGGCAUAGGGGAGAAUUAUCUAGAAAUUAACGCAGACGCGAGGUGAGCUGAGGCUGUAUCGCCGCUUAAUGUAACAACCGCCGCUUAAUGUAAGCAUUUGUGGUAAUGUAAGAAUCGAAGGACUUUUUUCUUAAACAGCCUCUGUAAGCCGCCAUUUUGUCAUCCUAGCAAAGUACAAUAAAAAAGCAUCCAUUUCCAUCGGCUGAUUUGGGGAAGCUAAAUUGAAAUUGGCAAAUAAAGUCUUCAAUUCAAGUUUUAGCACAUUAUAUCCGAGAUCAAAUAACAAUAAGGGUGGCUGACAAGUGCUGUUUAAGGAACAGAAUAGAUGACGUAAUAGGGCUACAAGGUAUGUGUCCGAGUGUACCUAAGAGGGGACGGGGUGGGUAAAGGCUGGCACACAUCUCAGUUCUUUGUGCUGAUGCAAGGUGAGUUCGACGCUCUGCUGCCAUGGACAUUUGUAUUCUACUGACUGCUUUUGAUUUUCUCUGUUUUUUAUCACCCUCCCCCCAUUCAUUGUAAGCAAUUGAAAGCAGUGCAUGGAUAUUUGGUAUUUUUCAAUAUAAGAACUUUCAUUUUUCAGGCUAAAUGUGUUCUUAUAUAAAUGGUAUUUUAUUUCCUAAAACCAGGCCUGGGUGCUCUUAAUCCACUUGUUUUGUACGCGGGUUUUUACUGUAUCCGGUUUGUUUAAUUUUUAAUUGUUUUUCAAUCAAGGUGCUAUGUAUGCUAUUAAAAAAUCUACAUCGUUCUA